AAUUCAUUGAAAGGUUUUAUAGAUCUGGAAGUAGCACAUAGCAUUAUCUGUUUACAUUCUUUGUGAGAGACCUGGUUAAGCCUAAUCGCUAGAAAAGCUGGGAAAGGGCACCUAGAUGGGUCCCAAAAUAGAGAACAGAUUUUGAUGAACAAAAUUGUUCUUUUUGCACAGGUGUCUCCCUUUCCAUUUUGAGAUAGCAUGAGAAACUCCCCAAAAGCUGUCAGAUGCAGCUGCCCAAUUUUUAACUUUCU
rnacentral:lncRNA from 1 species